rnacentral:misc_RNA from 1 species
CUGAACUGUCAACAGGAGUUGUUGCUGGUCCUCAAACGGGGGCAUGUGCACGCUCUGUUCACACACCCACCCACACCUGUGCACCCUCUGUAGCUCUGUGGUGUGGGGGACUCUGUCCUCCCACUGUGGUUCUACAUCUUUACAUACACACAUAGUGAUAGAGUCUCAUGGAAUGUAUGUCGCGUUUAACGCAAUGCAGUA